AUGGCCACUUCGCGCUCACUUAUACGAAAAUUGGAAUGAUACAGAGAAGAUUGACCCCUGCACAAGGAUGACAUGCAAAUUCGUGAAGCAUCAGUGUCCACU